AUUGAACGCUGGCGGCAGGCUUAACACAUGCAAGUCGAGCGGGGUGAUGGUGCUUGCACUAUCACUUAGCGGCGGACGGGUGAGUAAUGCUUAGGAAUCUGCCUAUUAGUGGGGGACUACAUCUCGAAAGGGAUGCUAAUACCGCAUACGUCCUACGGGAGAAAGCAGGGGAGCACUUGUGACCUUGCGCUAAUAGAUGAGCCUAAGUCGGAUUAGCUAGUUGGUGGGGUAAAGGCCUACCAAGGCGACGAUCUGUAGCGGAUCUGAGAGGAUGAUCCGCCACACUGGGACUGAGACACGGCCCAGACUCCUACGGGAGGCAGCAGUGGGGAAUAUUGGACAAUGGGGGGAACCCUGAUCCAGCCAUGCCGCGUGUGUGAAGAAGGCCUUAUGGUUGUAAAGCACUUUAAGCGAGGAGGAGGCUCUUUUGGUUAAUACCCAAGAUGAGUGGACGUUACUCGCAGAAUAAGCACCGGCUAACUCUGUGCCAGCAGCCGCCGUAA
rnacentral:rRNA from 1 species